rnacentral:lncRNA from 1 species
AUUCAUUCUCUCACACAGCGCUCUGAGGCCGUGGGACUGCGCCCUGGAGAAAGGCUCAGCUUGUGAACACCGUGAGGAAGAGGGCUGAGAGCUGUUUCCUGGGAAUAGCAGACUGAACGGCGGGGAAAGCUCUAACUACAAGAAGAAAAGACUGUUAAAGAUUAUGAAGAUUGACAAAGAGACCGAUGAAAAGCAUGGUAGUGGAGAGGGGCUGAUGCAGCUGGCAGGCUGCUAUUGCCUGCCUUUCUGCCUGCAGCCUCCUGAGCACUUGGGACAGAGAAUGACUGGAUUCAAGAAGGCAGCUUGAGUACCAACAUUCUGGGCAGCUCAGAUCAUCUUCAUCAUGUCUGAGAACAUCAAUAAAUCUUCACCCUCUCCUAUACAGCCUGAGGUUUUGAUGGAAUCUAUUUGCAGACCGAGUGCUGACGGCAGCUCAGGAACAGCCACGGCUGUGCCAUCUCCUCCCCUCUGCCAUUUGGAAAAACCGAAACUGUUGAGAAGCAGCAGUAAUGUGGGAUGCUGAAACAGGAAAGAAAUUGCUCUUUCAAUGAAAAUGACUUCAAGGCUAAUCCAACCACCACCUUCUUGGUGGUUCCAGUGAAUGCAGCUGUUGCUGGUUUUGACAGCUCUGGAGGCUGAAUGAUGAUCUACUGGC